rnacentral:rRNA from 1 species
UACGUAGGGGCUAGCGUUGUCCGGAAUCACUGGGCGUAAAGCGCGUGUAGGCGGGUUGCCAAGUCCGCUGUGAAAGCCCGAGGCUCAACCUCGGAGGGUCGGUGGAUACUGGCAGUCUUGAAGGUGCUAGGGGGAGAUGGAAUUACCGGUGUAGCGGUGAAAUGCGUAGAGAUCGGUAGGAACACCAGUGGCGAAGGCGGUCUCCUGGGGCAUUCUUGACGCUGAGACGCGAAAGCUGGGGGAGCGAACGGG